AUUCAAUUUGUAUUUGAACGCUCAAACUUAACUGAGUUAACUCAUUAACGCCACUAUUAGUCUAUUACUAGCUAGCUAGAAGCCUAGAAUUCGUGCUGGGUUUAAUUUGAGUAUUAGCCACUGAAAGGACGCCGCUAUCUCUCUCUCUCUCUCUCUCUCUCUCUCUCUCUCUGUGAAUCUCCGAUUGAGUCUCAGGCCAUCGAAGAAGGAUCAUCGUUGUGUCCGAAGCAUAAAUGGAUGUAACGGCGACAAUAGCACCACGAUCUAUGCUGUCACUGGACUUUACCAAUUGGCGUUCGAGACCAGUCGUCGCAGGCUCCACAUGGAUAUCAUGGAAAUACUACUAGAUUUAACACAAAAUUAUGUCUUUUGUUAUUCCUAGUACUGGAUGGGUAGGUUUCAUAUAUACGUUACAACUCCUUUCCAAGCUGCAUUCUUGCUGGCGCGCAUGGACUGGCUUUCGAGUUUUUCUGUUUUUAUCUCUCCUUUUUUUUUUAUUUUUUUUCCUGAUGAAAUCAUAAAUUCCGAAACAAUAGUUUUCAUUGCUAUUGUAAUAAAAGACUAGCUAGCUAGGCACGCAUAUUCAUUACAUAAUAACUGUUUGUAUGCAAUGGGUAUAUAUGUUUAUAAUGUAUUAGCAGUAGCUAGAAGCAUGCAUGCAUGCAUGGACGUACUCAUGUUGUAUUUCAAGGAAUUUUGUGGCAUUUUGAAUUUUCACAUGUAAAUUUUGUGUAUAUAUAUUAUAGCCACCGGCCAUCUAGCCAGUGGAUUGCUUGUGCACUAUUUAUAUGCAAUUCAUGUCACACUUGGUAUUUGUGUUUGAGAUUUAGGGCCUUUUCUUUUCCUUGUAAUAAUCUUCAAUAAGCAGCAAAAAAUCUUAAGGUUGGCGUUUGGGAUUUUUAACGGUAAAGGAAGUCAUGUACGUGGCCUAAUAUGCAGCAGCCAGUUCCCAUGUGGUCGUUGCUUCUCCAAUAUUAUUUGUAUGUUUGAAUUCGGUAUUAUAACAGUAUAAAAUGGAUGGUUUUUUUGUUUUAAAAAAAAUGAAAGUACUCCAAUUUUAUCUAUAAUCUUUACUUAUAAUGGAAGAAUACGGUAAUUAUAACCAAAAUAUUUGAGGAUUACUUAUAAUCAUAAACUCCACAAAAUAGAUGGUUGUUGCUGUUAAAUUAUGCUCUUUAUGGGCCUUAUGUAUAUUGCUAAUGAUGAUUAAAUACUUGAUGACAUUAAUUAAGACAUGCAGCAGCCUAGUUGUCAGAGGUGGGCGGACUUGGGACGUGCUAGCUGUAGCAGACAUCCCGGCCUGGGGGCUGAUUCAUUGCAGCAGAUCAUCACGUGAAGGAUCAGAAAUACUUGACGGUAAUAGGGCAAAUGGAUACAGUACCGGCAGCGGUGAAGAAGUUGAAGAAGGGAAAGUGGACAUAUUAUCGACAAGAUUCUAGCGAUUUUUUUGUCUAUUAGAAUUUUUAUUAUUCUAAAAGAGAUAAAUACUUUGGGCGUUUGUGGGAACUUCACCCCCUCCUCAUGUAUCAUGUUUUAGUUUAACGAAGUUAACUUGAUUAGGAAAAAAAAAAAUGUCACAGUUUUUAAUACUAGAUUUAAGCUUUACACUGCCCACAUGAAGUAGCACUUAAACUAUUGGGUCACAUUUAUAUAUUUAUUGGAAAAAUAUAGCUACAA